GAAUGUAUGGCUCAGUUGGUCAGAGCGCUUGGACAGUUUCUGAAAGGUGAGGGUUCAAAUCCCGCUACGUUCA
rnacentral:tRNA from 1 species